ACGAACGCUGGCGGCGCGCCUAACACAUGCAAGUCGAACGGAGCUUAGAGAGCUUGCUUUUUAAGCUUAGUGGCGAACGGGUGAGUAACGCGUGAGUAACCUGCCCUAGAGUGGGGGACAACAGUUGGAAACGACUGCUAAUACCGCAUAAGCCCACGGUGCCGCAUGACACUGAGGGAAAAGGAUUUAUUCGCUUUAGGAUGGACUCGCGUCCAAUUAGCUAGUUGGUGAGGUAACGGCCCACCAAGGCGACGAUUGGUAGCCGGACUGAGAGGUUGAACGGCCACAUUGGGACUGAGACACGGCCCAGACUCCUACGGGAGGCAGCAGUGGGGGAUAUUGCACAAUGGGGGAAACCCUGAUGCAGCGACGCCGCGUGGAGGAAGAAGGUUUUCGGAUUGUAAACUCCUGUCGUUAGGGACGAUAAUGACGGUACCUAACAAGAAAGCACCGGCUAACUACGUGCCAGCAGCCGCGGUAAAACGUAGGGUGCAAGCGUUGUCCGGAAUUACUGGGUGUAAAGGGAGCGCAGGCGGGAAGACAAGUUGGAAGUGAAAACCAUGGGCUCAACCCAUGAAUUGCUUUCAAAACUGUUUUUCUUGAGUAGUGCAGAGGUAGAUGGAAUUCCCGGUGUAGCGGUGGAAUGCGUAGAUAUCGGGAGGAACACCAGUGGCGAAGGCGGUCUACUGGGCACCAACUGACGCUGAGGCUCGAAAGCAUGGGUAGCAAACAGGAUUAGAUACCCUGGUAGUCCAUGCCGUAAACGAUGAUUACUAGGUGUUGGGGGAUUGACCCCCUCAGUGCCGCAGUUAACACAAUAAGUAAUCCACCUGGGGAGUACGACCGCAAGGUUGAAACUCAAAGGAAUUGACGGGGGCCCGCACAAGCAGUGGAGUAUGUGGUUUAAUUCGAAGCAACGCGAAGAACCUUACCAAGUCUUGACAUCCCUCUGACGGACUCUUAACCGAGUCUUUCCUUCGGGACAGAGGAGACAGGUGGUGCAUGGUUGUCGUCAGCUCGUGUCGUGAGAUGUUGGGUUAAGUCCCGCAACGAGCGCAACCCUUAUUGCCAGUUACUACGUUAAGAGGACUCUGGCGAGACUGCCGUUGACAAAACGGAGGAAGGUGGGGAUGACGUCAAAUCAUCAUGCCCUUUAUGACCUGGGCUACACACGUACUACAAUGGCGUUAAACAAAGAGAAGCAAGACCGCGAGGUGGAGCAAAACUCAAAAACAACGUCUCAGUUCAGAUUGCAGGCUGCAACUCGCCUGCAUGAAGUCGGAAUUGCUAGUAAUCGCGGAUCAGCAUGCCGCGGUGAAUACGUUCCCGGGCCUUGUACACACCGCCCGUCACACCAUGGGAGUCAGUAACGCCCGAAGUCAGUGACCUAACCGCAAGGGAGGAGCUGCCGAAGGCGGGACCGAUGAUUGGGGUG
rnacentral:rRNA from 1 species